CGGGGGGGGCAAGCGUUGUUCGGAAUUACUGGGCGUAAAGGGCUCGUAGGCGGCCAACUAAGUCAGACGUGAAAUCCCCAGGCUCAACCUGGGAACUGCGUCUGAUACUGAUUGGCUUGAAUUCGGGAGAGGGAUGCAGAAUUCCAGGUGUAGCGGUGAAAUGCGUAGAUAUCUGGAGGAAUACCGGUGGCGAAGGCGGCAUCCUGGACCGACAUUGACGCUGAGGAGCGAAAGCUAGGGGAGCAAACGGGAUUAGAUACCCCGGUAGUCCUAGCCCUAAACGAUGAAUGCUUGGUGUGACGGGUAUCGAUCCCUGUCGUGCCGAAGCUAACGCAUUAAGCAUUCCGCCUGGGGAGUACGGUCGCAAGGCUG
rnacentral:rRNA from 1 species